rnacentral:rRNA from 1 species
UACGUAGGGUGCAAGCGUUAAUCGGAAUUACUGGGCGUAAAGCGUGCGCAGGCGGUUUUGUAAGUUUGUCGUGAAAUCCCCGGGCUCAACCUGGGAAUGGCGAUGAAGACUGCAAGGCUAGAAUCUGGCAGAGGGGGGUGAGAAUUCCACGUGUGAGCAGUGAAAUGACGUAGAGAUGUGGAGGAACACCGAUGGCGCAAGGCAGCCCCCUGGGAUCG